AUAUGCACAGUGGGGAACCCUGAUGCAGCGACGCCGCGUGAAGGAAGAAGUAUCUCGGUAUGUAAACUUCUAUCAGCAGGGAAGAUAGUGACGGUACCUGACUAAGAAGCCCCGGCUAACUACGUGCC
rnacentral:rRNA from 1 species